rnacentral:rRNA from 1 species
GAUGAACGCUGGCGGCGUGCCUAAUACAUGCAAGUCGAGCGAACAGACGAGGAGCUUGCUCCUCUGACGUUAGCGGCGGACGGGUGAGUAACACGUGGAUAACCUACCUAUAAGACUGGGAUAACUUCGGGAAACCGGAGCUAAUACCGGAUAAUAUAUUGAACCGCAUGGUUCAAUAGUGAAAGACGGUUUUGCUGUCACUUAUAGAUGGAUCCGCGCCGCAUUAGCUAGUUGGUAAGGUAACGGCUUACCAAGGCAACGAUGCGUAGCCGACCUGAGAGGGUGAUCGGCCACCCUGGAAGUGGGACACGGUCAAGACUCCUACGGGAGGCAGCAGUAGGGAAUCUUCCGCAAUGGGCGAAAGCCUGACGGAGCAACGCCGCGUGAGUGGUGAAGGUCUUCGGAUCGUAAAACUCUGUUAUUAGGGAAGAACAAAUGUGUAAGUAACUAUGCACGUCUUGACGGUACCUAAUCAGAAAGCCACGGCUAACUACGUG